rnacentral:rRNA from 1 species
CUUGCUGCUUCGCUGACGAGUGGCGGACGGGUGAGUAAUGUCUGGGAAACUGCCUGAUGGAGGGGGAUAACUACUGGAAACGGUAGCUAAUACCGCAUAACGUCGCAAGACCAAAGAGGGGGACCUUCGGGCCUCUUGCCAUCGGAUGUGCCCAGAUGGGAUUAGCUAGUAGGUGGGGUAACGGCUCACCUAGGCGACGAUCCCUAGCUGGUCUGAGAGGAUGACCAGCCACACUGGAACUGAGACACGGUCCAGACUCCUACGGGAGGCAGCAGUGGGGAAUAUUGCACAAUGGGCGCAAGCCUGAUGCAGCCAUGCCGCGUGUAUGAAGAAGGCCUUCGGGUUGUAAAGUACUUUCAGCGGGGAGGAAGGCGACAGGGUUAAUAACCCUGUCGAUUGACGUUACCCGCAGAAGAAGCACCGGCUAACUCCGUGCCAGCAGCCGCGGUAAUACGGAGGGUGCAAGCGUUAAUCGGAAUUACUGGGCGUAAAGCGCACGCAGGCGGUCUGUCAAGUCGGAUGUGAAAUCCCCGGGCUCAACCUGGGAACUGCAUUCGAAACUGGCAGGCUAGAGUCUUGUAGAGGGGGGUAGAAUUCCAGGU